rnacentral:sRNA from 1 species
UUUAAAGAAAGAACAUAUCGUCAACCAUCACUUACUGAA